GAUGAAGAACGCAGCGAAAUGCGAUAAGUAAUGUGAAUUGCAGAAUUCAGUGAAUCAUCGAAUCUUUGAACGCACAUUGCGCCCGCCAGUAUUCUGGCGGGCAUGCCUGUCUGAGCGUCAUUUCAACCCUCAUGCCCCUAGGGCGUGGUGUUGGGGAUCGGCCAAAGCCCGCAAGGGACGGCCGGCCCCUAAAUCUAGUGGCGGACCCGUCGUGGCCUCCCCUGCGAAGUAGUGAUAUUCCGCAUAGGAGAAGCGACGAGCCCCUGCCGUUAAACCCCCAACUUUCUCAGGUUGACCUCAGAUCAGGUAGGAAUACCCGCUGAACUUAAGCAUACCAAUAAGCGGAGGA
rnacentral:misc_RNA from 1 species